rnacentral:lncRNA from 1 species
CAAAGAGGUGAAGACCUAGAGACAGGAGGAACUGUGCAUAACAAAGCAUAUUCACCUAGCCCUCAUCAUGUCUUCUUAACCUUACCUAUCAGCCCUGCAGGUUUCUCUACAGUAUCUCAAAGAGACAGAGAGAUGUAUAGUGAAGAUGAUGUUGUGCUGACACACAUGAUCCAUGCUGCACCUCUACCGAUCAGACAUACCUACUGAUCCAUGCUGCACCUCUACCGAUCAGACAUACCUACUGAUCCAUGCUGUACCUCUACUGAUCAGACAUACCGAUCUAUCCCUACUGAUCCAUCCCUACCGAUCCAUCACUUCUGAGUGUCUCUGACGCCCGAUCCAUCUCUGUUCUCUAGCCGAAUGAUGAGUUGCACUGCGAUGUGGUUUGAGGGGAGGGACCUUGGACUUUACAGUUGAGAAGGAGGCGUUGAUUCAAGGAAUCGAGGAAUCAAGACAGAGCAGAGGUUUGAGGAGAACUGAAGAACUAGAGAGAGACAGAGAGUCGGAAAGAGAGUGAAAGAUGGGGGAGAGAGAAAGAGAGAGACAGA